rnacentral:sRNA from 1 species
AAAUAGCCCUGAUAGAAGCGGCAUCCUUUUUUUGCUAGGGGGAAAUUUCUAAUUACUGUUCUAAGCGUCGGCAAAAAAAGAUAUAGCGGAUAGCAGGAAAUAGC